CCUACGGGCGGCUGCAGUGGGGAAUAUUGGACAAUGGGCGAAAGCCUGAUCCAGCCAUGCCGCGUGUGUGAAGAAGGCCUUCGGGUUGUAAAGCACUUUCAGUGGGGAAGAAAGCCUUGGGGCUAAUACCCUCGAGGAAGGACAUCACCCACAGAAAAAGCACCGGCUAACUCCGUGCCAGCAGCCGCGGUAAUACGGAGGGUGCGAGCGUUAAUCGGAAUUACUGGGCGUAAAGCGCGCGUAGGCGGUCUGAUAAGCCGGUUGUGAAAGCCCCGGGCUCAACCUGGGAACGGCAUCCGGAACUGUCAGGCUAGAGUGCAGGAGAGGAAGGUAGAAUUCCCGGUGUAGCGGUGAAAUGCGUAGAGAUCGGGAGGAAUACCAGUGGCGAAGGCGGCCUUCUGGACUGACACUGACGCUGAGGUGCGAAAGCGUGGGUAGCAAACAGGAUUAGAUACCCGUGUAGUC
rnacentral:rRNA from 1 species